AUCCUAAUAGCUUAGUGGUUGGAGUAUCGGCCUCCAACUCCGAGUACUCGGGUUCGAACCCCGCCAAUGACA